AAUAGAUACCCGGGUGGUCCUUGCCGUAAACGGUGCAUACUUGGUGUAGUUGGACUCAACCCCGGACUGUGCCGAAGCUAACGCGUUAAGUAUGCCGCCUGGGAAGUACGCUCGCAAGGGUGAAACUCAAAAGAAUUGACGGGGGACCCGCACAAGCAGUGGAGCAUGUGGUUUAAUUCGAUGCAACGCGAAGAACCUUACCUAGGCUUGACAUAUAGAUGACGAUAUCAGAGAUGAUAUUUCUCUUCGGAGCGUCUAUACAGGUGCUGCAUGGCUGUCGUCAGCUCGUGCCGUGAGGUGUUGGGUUAAGUCCCGCAACGAGCGCAACCCUUAUCAUUAGUUGCCAACAGUUCGGCUGGGGGACUCUAAUGAGACUGCCUGGGGUUAACCAGGAGGAAGGUGAGGAUGACGUCAAGUCCGCAUGGCCCUUAUGUCUAGGGCUACACACGUGCUACAAUGGCCGGUACAGAAGGCAGCGAAACCGUGAGGUGUAGCAAAUCCUAUAAAGCCGGUCCCAGUUCGGAUUGU
rnacentral:rRNA from 1 species